CCUACGGGGCGCUGCAGUGGGGAAUAUUGGACAAUGGGCGAAAGCCUGAUCCAGCCAUGCCGCGUGUGUGAAGAAGGCCUUCGGGUUGUAAAGCACUUUCAGUGGGGAAGAAAGCCUUGGGGCUAAUACCCUCGAGGAAGGACAUCACCCACAGAAGAAGCACCGGCUAACUCCGUGCCAGCAGCCGCGGUAAUACGGAGGGUGCGAGCGUUAAUCGGAAUUACUGGGCGUAAAGCGCGCGUAGGCGGUCUGAUAAGCCGGUUGUGAAAGCCCCGGGCUCAACCUGGGAACGGCAUCCGGAACUGUCAGGCUAGGGUGCAGGAGAGGAAGGUAGAAUUCCCGGUGUAGCGGUGAAAUGCGUAGAGAUCGGGAGGAAUACCAGUGGCGAAGGCGGCCUUCUGGACUGACACUGACGCUGAGGUGCGAAAGCGUGGGUAGCAAACAGGAUUAGAUACCCGGGUAGUC
rnacentral:rRNA from 1 species